rnacentral:misc_RNA from 1 species
GUAGGUGAACCUGCGGAAGGAUCAUUAACACGUAUCCAAACGUUAAAACCCCCCUGUUUUUGAGUUAGGGACUUCUCUGGGCACCGCGGUGAGCAGGUUUAGCUAUUUACGUCCCUGGCGGCUCUGAAGUGACUUCCACUGUCUGAAAGUGUCAGUGUACUUGCGUAAGGAGUUGGCGCAGUCAACGAAUCAAGGGGCCGACACGGCCCUGCGACCGGGACCCUUUGAGCGGGUAAAACGGCUCCACCAAGAUGAAAAUCUUGCAUGACAUGAGAGACGGCCGGCGCCGAAAGGUUGUAGGCACAAAAAAACGAACAACUGUUAACAAUGGAUAUCUUGGUUCUC